AGCUGCAGCUCUGGGAAGUGCUGAGAAGGCAGAAGUGUCUGGCGGGAGGUGGACAUGGGCUGAGAGCCGAGGCCGUGUCAGGACGUGUGAUGCCCUCGGCACUGCUGCUGCCCAGUGAGACCCGAGUGGUGUCCCUUCUGCAGGACAGAGACAGACCCAGAGCAAGGAGGUGCCCAGUACAGAUCCAGGAGUGGGAAUGCGGGGACACGUUGGCAGGUGUGUGGACAUUGAUGAGAAGCUGACAGUACUUCCAGAGUGGCCGCACCAUUCUGCAUUCCCAGCAGCUGCGAUGUGAGUUCUCAACACGGGAUUGGUCAGCCUUUUAAAUGUCAUCCAUUCUAACAGGGACACACGGUGCUGUCUCACUGGGUUUUAAUGCAUAUUUGCCAUCCCUAAAUCCUCUUUGGCGAAGUGUCUCUUCAUGUCUUUUGUCUGUUUUCUAAUUGCUUUUUCCCCCUUAUUUUUGAGUUCUGAGAUAUCUUUAUACAUUCUGGAUACAAGUGUUCUUUGUCAGAUAUGUGACUCCCAAAUAUUGUCUCCAAGUCUAUAGCUUGUCUUUUCAUAUUAGCAGUGUCUUUCAGAGAGUAAACAUCUUACAUUUGGAUGAAGUCCAAUUUACCAAUUUUUUUUCUUUUGUGAGUCACGCUGAGGAUGUCAUGCUGCACAUUUUAAGUUUUGGAAAGAAACGGGAGGCAGCUGGUUGUUCCGACACCAAAGUCUUGUUCGAGGGGAACCUCCCUGCGUUGGGCAGACCCUGGCGGGGCCGUCCCGAGACCUGAGCUCCAGGAAACCUCCCUGCGUUGGGCAGACCCCGGCGGGGCCGUCCCGAGACCUGAGCUCCAGGAAACCUCCCUGCGUUGGGCAGACCCCGGCGGGGCCGUCCCGAGACCUGAGCUCCAGGAAACCUCCCUGCGUCGGGCAGACCCCGGUGGGGCCGUCCCGAGACCUGAGCUCCAGGAAACCUCCCUGCGUUGGGCAGACCCCGGUGGGACCGUCCCGAGACCUGAGCUCUAGGGAACCUCCCUGCGCUGGGCAGACCCCGGUGGGGCCGUCCUGAGACCUGAGCUCCAGGAAACCUCCCUGCGUUGGGCAGACCCCGGCGGGGCCGUCCCGAGACCUGAGCUCUAGGCCAGCCCUGCCCGAACCAGGCAGAAAAGGUCACCCAGGAGCUGAAGUGGACCAAAUACCAGGUUCUCUUUCAGUAAAAUAAGGGGUUUGACUCAAUAACUUAAAACAAUUUUUUGUCGUAAUCACUAGGUGAUUUUUAACAGCCCUUUCUGCGCGGGAGACGUGGAACACGUGGUGCUGCCUGAGCUCACGUGGCUCAACAUGCGCUGGCAGGGCCCUGUCUGGAGUAGCCACAGGCACAGGUGCCCAGGGUGGACAGAACAGCACACAGCAGCCGUCCAGGACGGAGACAAGACACUGACCCACACGGAGACGGAGGUGUGGGCAAGGCUCGGGCUCCUGCUACCAGGCAGAGGAGAAAGGAUACUGCGGCCCUCCCACCUCCAGAGGAAACCACGGAAAUAGCCACAGGGAGGCACAACAAAUGGAAAACGCCAAGACAGUUUUCACCCAAGAGCUGCCUAAAUAAGCCAGCCCAGCGAGGAUAAAAUAUAACUGCUGAAAUAUUAAUGGAUAUGGUUUAUUUAAUAAAUUAGAUAUAUAAUAUAUAUACACA